GUGUCAGCAGCCGCGGUAAUACCGGCGGCCCGAGUGGCGGCCACUAUUAUUGGGUCUAAAGCGUCCGUAGCCGGCCAGGUAAAUCCUUGGGUAAAUCGAACGGCUUAACCGUUCGACCCCCUGGGAGACUGCCUGGCUUGAGACCGGGAGAGGCCGGAGGUACUCUAGGGGUAGGGGUGAAAUCCUGUAAUCCCUAGGGGACCACCUGUGGCGAAGGCGUCCGGCUUGAACGGGUCUGACGGUGAGGGACGAAGGCCAGGGGCGCAAACCGGAUUAGAUACCCGGGUAGUCC
rnacentral:rRNA from 1 species